UGGGAAUUUGGACAAUGGGCGAAANCCUGAUCCAGCAAUGCCGCGUGUGUGAAGAAGGCCUUCGGGUUGUAAAGCACUUUUGUCCGGGAAAGAAAUCCUUGGCUCUAAUACAGUCGGGGGAUGACGGUACCGGAAGAAUAAGCACCGGCUAACUACGUGCCAGCAGCCGCGGUAAUACGUAGGGUCAAGCGUUAAUCGGAAUUACUGGGCGUAAAGCGUGCGCAGGCGGUUUGCUAAGACCGAUGUGAAAUCCCCGGGCUCAACCUGGGAACUGCAUUGGUGACUGGCAGGCUAGAGUAUGGCAGAGGGGGGUAGAAUUCCACGUGUAGCAGUGAAAUGCGUAGAGAUGUGGAGGAAUACCGAUGGCGAAGGCAGCCCCCUGGGCCAAUACUGACGCUCAUGCACGAAAGCGUGGGGAGCAAACAGGAUUAGAUACCCUGGUAGUCCACGCCCUAAAACGAUGUCAACUAGUUGUUGGGGAUUCAUUUCCUUAGUAACGUAGCUAACGCGUGAAGUUGACCGCCUGGGGAGUACGGUCGCAAGAUU
rnacentral:rRNA from 1 species